CGGACGGGUGAGUAACACGUGGAUAACCUACCUAUAAGACUGGGAUAACUUCGGGAAACCGGAGCUAAUACCGGAUAAGAUUUUGAACCGCAUGGUUCAAUAGUGAAAGACGGCCUUGCUGUCACUUAUAGAUGGAUCCGCGCCGUAUUAGCUAGUUGGUAAGGUAACGGCUUACCAAGGCAACGAUACGUAGCCGACCUGAGAGGGUGAUCGGCCACACUGGAACUGAGACACGGUCCAGACUCCUACGGGAGGCAGCAGUAGGGAAUCUUCCGCAAUGGGCGAAAGCCUGACGGAGCAACGCCGCGUGAGUGAUGAAGGUCUUCGGAUCGUAAAACUCUGUUAUCAGGGAAGAACAAACGUGUAAGUAACUGUGCACGUCUUGACGGUACCUGAUCAGAAAGCCACGGCUAACUACGUGCCAGCAGCCGCGGUAAUACGUAGGUGGCAAGCGUUAUCCGGAAUUAUUGGGCGUAAAGCGCGCGUAGGCGGUUUUUUAAGUCUGAUGUGAAAGCCCACGGCUCAACCGUGGAGGGUCAUUGGAAACUGGAAAACUUGAGUGCAGAAGAGGAAAGUGGAAUUCCAUGUGUAGCGGUGAAAUGCGCAGAGAUAUGGAGGAACACCAGUGGCGAAGGCGACUUUCUGGUCUGUAACUGACGCUGAUGUGCGAAAGCGUGGGGAUCAAACAGGAUUAGAUACCCUGGUAGUCCACGCCGUAAACGAUGAGUGCUAAGUGUUAGGGGGUUUCCGCCCCUUAGUGCUGCAGCUAACGCAUUAAGCACUCCGCCUGGGGAGUACGACCGCAAGGUUGAAACUCAAAGGAAUUGACGGGGACCCGCACAAGCGGUGGAGCAUGUGGUUUAAUUCGAAGCAACGCGAAGAACCUUACCAAAUCUUGACAUCCUUUGACCGCUCUAGAGAUAGAGUUUUCCCCUUCGGGGGACAAAGUGACAGGUGGUGCAUGGUUGUCGUCAGCUCCUGUCGUGAGAUGUUGGGUUAAGUCCCGCACGAGCGCACCCUUAAGCUUAGUUGCCUCAUUAAGUUGGGCACUCUAAGUUGACUGCCGUGACAACCGGAGGAAGGGGGGGAUGACGUCAAUCUCCUGCCCCUAUGAUUGGGCUACCACCGGCU
rnacentral:rRNA from 1 species